CAAAAAUUAAAGAUGAUCAUGAAAUAAGAAAUUCCAAGAUCAAGAUGCUAUACUUAGGCAUAAUGUAUUUUGCUACUAAUUGUUUAAGCUCGAUCGCUUUGGAAGCUGGUUCUCGCAAUUUAUUUCGCUCUAUUUCAACAAGACCUGUGGUUUUUAAUAAUAUAUUCCGCCGAAAUUACAAUUUGAGGAUUAAGAUAAUGAUAGGAGAC